AGGACAUAUCCUCCCAUUUAUUAUACAGUGCACUCAUCGUACUCCCUUCUAAACAGAAACGGGCUGAAGUUGAGAGCUAAUGUUACAUUUUACAAUGCUGUCGCCUUGAUUUGAUCAAGAUGAUCAUUGUAGAACAAUAUUGCUAAAUUAAAAAAGUAUAGUCCAAGUCCAAUAUUUUUUACUGAUUUGAAUUUCUUGACUUUUUGUACAGGUUCCAGCGAGGGACGGCAUGAACAAAAAUACUUCUAAGCAAGGUAACUGGGUCUUCUUUUCCUGUGGUGGUCCUCAUGAGAGCCAGUUUCAUCAUAGCGCUUGAUGGUUUUUGCGACUGCACUUGAAGUGACUACCUCAUGAAGCUGGUUGAGAGAAUACCAAGAGUGUGGAAAGCUGUCAUCAAGGCAAUGGGUGGCUACUUUGAAGAACCUC
ensembl:lncRNA